CUUUUUUUUUUUUUUUAAAGUUUGGGGUCUGUCAGGAGACAGAGGCUUUUUUGAAUUCACUGUGAAGAGAAGAACCCGAACCUUAAGACGCCAGAUCCCUGAGAGUCUUUCUGGCUGGUUUGAGUCUCUCAAAUCAUGGAUUAGGAGUAAAGAAAGAGGCCAGGCGCAAUGGCUCAUGCCUGUAAUCCCAGCACUUUGGGAGGCUGAGGUGGGUGGAUCACUUGAGGUCAGGAGUUUGAGACCAGCCUGGGUAAUAUGGCAAAACCCCAUCUCUACUAAAAAAUACAAAAAUUAGCCAGGUAUGGUGGUGAACACCUGUAAUCCCAGCUACUUGGAAGGCUGAGGCAUAGGAGUUGCUUGAACCUGGGAGAUGGGGGUUGUAGUGAGCCAAGUUCGUGCCAUCGGACUCCAGCCUGGGUGAAGGAGUGAGACCCUGUCUCCAAAAACAAACAAAAAAGGAGCAGAGAAAGACAGUGGUACAGCUAACCUGAACAAGGGAACUGGGACCGUUGGGCUGAAACAGUCUUGAGCCUGGGGUUGACUGGGUUAGAGAAGAACCGGGAUGCAAGGAGCUGCCUGUGACACCUGGCCUGCCCUUUCUCAGCUGCCUCCCCUGCCCUUUCUCAGCUGCCUCCCCUGCCCUCAGAAGGAAAGGAGAGGGCUCACUUAUCACUUGUGCCAUAGCACCUGGUCUCAAAAUCCUAAAAGCUUUCCUCGCCCUCACUGCCUUGCUCCACAAGGUCCACUUUCCUGGGUCUUGUGCUGUGCCUUUCCUUGUCUGCCUCCUGCUGCUUCUGUAACUGCAGACCCCAGGCCCAAUGGCAAGCCCUCGGCUCAGCUGCUUCUCCAUUGGAAUAAACUCUUGUUUCUCUAUGUCGAUGUUCUUCUCUGGUCUUCCUCCCUGCCUAUCAAGAGCUGAGUGAUAAUUGCCCAUUGUCCCUUACAGAAAGGAAAUGUAAAUGUGGGCCCUUGCCCAGGCUGACCCAUCUGACUAGGGUCAGUAUAAUUGAGAGGAAUUUGAAAGCAAUGGCUUUCAAACUCCUCGACCACAGCUUACCACAGCAGGAAUACAUUUUACAUGGCACUCAGUACACACAUGCACAUAUGACUAACAAAACAAUACUUACCUACACUGAGAGCAAUGUACUCUGCUAUUUUCUAUUUUACUUUAUUCUAUUCUACCUAUUUAAAAAAUGCUGGCCAUAAUCCACCAAAGGACUGCAACCACAGUUUGAAAAACACCGAUUUAGAGCAUAGAGAAUCAAGAACAGACGGCACAUAAAUGACCCAAGAUAUAAUUCUGAUUGUGGUCUGGAUCAUAAACCCGCAUCACAUUUUAAAUGUC
rnacentral:lncRNA from 1 species